AUUUACGGUCUUACUAAUAAAAAAUCACUAUACAUGCGUUAUGACAAGGUGAUAGUAAUUCAGUGAAUAGAGCUUGUACAGGGCAUAAACACCUCUUUGACCAAUAAUCGAUGUGUAUUGGUUGAAUAACAAAACGACCCUUAUUUAUUGUUACCCUGGCAACCCGCCGUGUUUGAUUGACGUUUGAUUUAAUAAUUUUGAUACAACUCAUAAUUCUAAUGUAAGUUGUAUUUAUUUUAUCAACCAAAGCAAUUAUAUACACAUUUACUCAAUAUAUUAAUAACAUUUUAUUAUUUGCAGCUAAUAGAAACUCCAAAACCUCAGACAAAGAGGACUAGAAUUUUACAUAAAAAGCCGCGUUCUGCAGUACAAAAGUUAGAAGAGCAUCUCAAAUAGUGGAAAGUGCCAAACUCCGCAACACGGUAGUGUUCCAGUGUUUCCAGGAAGAGCACGAAA